rnacentral:lncRNA from 1 species
CUGACACUGCUGCGGCCCUGCGGAGAAAUGCUCCAAGCUUGGAUUUUUGAUAAUAGUGACAGCCAUUGCAAAAUCGUGAACCACACCACUUGUAGAGUUGGUAGAACAGCAUUCAUAUCAGAGCAUCGUUGCCAGAAAAUUUGCCUACCGCACCAAAGAAUACAUGCAGUCUGCAGCGUGAUUCCAGAGCUUCGAAAAUGCUCCAAAAGAAACCAUAGAAUAUGGUUUUUGUCUUUACAGAAAGGAGUUUGCAUUGCGUUGCAACCAAAUUACUGCCUCAAAAGCGGAAUGGGCUUUUCGACGUAUCCUGAAUGCAUGCAGAGGUGCACCUAUGAUCCACACGGCAUUCAUUUCCGACCACGUCCCUGGCCUCACCACAAAUUAGCUGCCUCAUGGAAGAAAAUAGCGGAUGAUAAAGGCGUGAAGUUCUUUCAAGCUACACUUAAGUAAAAAUCACUCUAAUAAAAGCGUGCAGUCAAAUAA